GUUAUAGGGUCAAGCGAACAAGUGCAUGUGGUGGAUGCCUUGGCGAUCACAGGCGAUGAAGGACGCGGUAGCCUGCGAAAAGCUACGGGGAGCUGGCAAACAAGCUUUGAUCCGUAGAUGUCCGAAUGGGGAAACCCACUCCUUUUGGAGUAUCCAUGGCUGAAUACAUAGGCCAUGCGAAGCGAACGCGGUGAACUGAAACAUCUAAGUAACCGCAGGAAAAGAAAUCAACCGAGAUUCCCAAAGUAGUGGCGAGCGAAAUGGGAUGAGCCUUGCACUCUUUAUUUGUAUUGUUAGCCGAACGCUCUGGAAAGUGCGGCCAUAGCAGGUGAUAGCCCUGUAGGCGAAAACAGUAUGAAAGAACUAGGUGUGCGACAAGUAGGGCGGGACACGUGAAAUCCUGUCUGAAGAUGGGGGGACCAUCCUCCAAGGCUAAAUACUCGUGAUCGACCGAUAGUGAACCAGUACCGUGAGGGAAAGGCGAAAAGAACCCCGGGAGGGGAGUGAAAUAGAUCCUGAAACCGCAUGCAUACAAACAGUCGGAGCCUCGUAAGGGGUGACGGCGUACCUUUUGUAUAAUGGGUCAGCGACUUACGUUCAGUAGCAAGCUUAACCGUAUAGGGCAGGCGUAGCGAAAGCGAGUCCGAAUAGGGCGUUCAGUUGCUGGGCGUAGACCCGAAACCAGGUGAUCUAUCCAUGGCCAGGAUGAAGGUGCGGUAACACGUACUGGAGGUCCGAACCCACUAACGUUGAAAAGUUAGGGGAUGAGCUGUGGAUAGGGGUGAAAGGCUAAACAAACCUGGAAAUAGCUGGUUCUCUCCGAAAACUAUUUAGGUAGUGCCUCGUGUCUCACCUUCGGGGGUAGAGCACUGUCAUGGUUGGGGGGUCUAUUGCAGAUUACCCCGCCAUAGCAAACUCCGAAUACCGAAGAGUGCAAUCACGGGAGACAGACAUCGGGUGCUAACGUCCGGUGUCAAGAGGGAAACAACCCAGACCGCCAGCUAAGGUCCCCAAAUAUAGCUAAGUGGGAAACGAAGUGGGAAGGCUAAAACAGUCAGGAGGUUGGCUUAGAAGCAGCCACCCUUUAAAGAAAGCGUAAUAGCUCACUGAUCGAGUCGUCCUGCGCGGAAGAUGUAACGGGGCUAAGCUAUAUACCGAAGCUGCGGAUGCGUGCUUAGCACGCAUGGUAGGAGAGCGUUCCGUAAGCCUGCGAAGGUGCUUUGUAAAGGGUGCUGGAGGUAUCGGAAGUGCGAAUGCUGACAUGAGUAGCGAUAAAGGGGGUGAAAGGCCCCCUCGCCGUAAGCCCAAGGUUUCCUACGCAACGUUCAUCGGCGUAGGGUGAGUCGGCCCCUAAGGCGAGGCAGAAAUGCGUAGCUGAUGGGAAGCAGGUCAAUAUUCCUGCACCAUUGUUAGAUGCGAUGGGGGGACGGAUCGCGGAAGGUUGUCCGGGUGUUGGAAGUCCCGGUCGCUGCAUUGGAGAAGGCGCUUAGGCAAAUCCGGGCGCGGAAUUCAAGGGUGUGGCGCGAGCUCCUUAGGGAGCGAAGCAAUUGGAAGUGGUUCCAAGAAAAGCCUCUAAGCUUCAGUCUAACGAUGACCGUACCGCAAACCGACACAGGUGGGCGAGAUGAGUAUUCUAAGGCGCUUGAGAGAACUCGGGAGAAGGAACUCGGCAAAUUGGUACCGUAACUUCGGGAUAAGGUACGCCCUUGUAGCUUGACUGGCUUGCGCCAGAAGGGUG
rnacentral:rRNA from 1 species